rnacentral:rRNA from 1 species
UAAGCAUAUCAAUAAGCGGAGGAAAAGAAACCAACAGGGAUUGCCCCAGUAACGGCGAGUGAAGCGGCAACAGCUCAAAUUUGAAAUCUGGCUUCAAUGCGGGACGUGUUAUUUGUAGAAGAUGCUUUCUGUGAGGCGCCUUCUGAGUUCCCUGGCAGGGGACGCCACAGAGGGAGAGAGCCCCGUAUAGUCGGACGCCGACCCAGUGUAUAUCUCCCUCCACGAGUCAAGUAGUUUGGGAGUGCUUCUCUAAGCGGGAGGUAAAAUCCUUCUAAAGCUAAAUACCGCCCAGAGACCGAUAGCGCACAAGUAGAGUGAUCAAAAGAUGAAAAGCACUUUGAAAAGAGGGUUAAAAAGCACGUGAUAUUGUUGAAAGGGAAGCGCCUGUCACCACACUUGCGCCCGGCGGAUCAUCCGGCGUUCUUCGCCGGUGCACUCCGCCGGCCUCACGCCAGCAUCUGCUCUCCCGGGGGGAUAAAGACGGCGGGAACGUAGCUCUCUUCGGGGAGUGUUAUAGCCCGUCGUGGAAUGCCUCCAGGGGGGCCGAGGACCGCGCGAAAGCAAGGAUGCUGGCGUAAUGGUCACCAGCGACCCGUCUUGAAACACGGACCAAGGAGUCAAGCAUUAGGGUGAGUGUCUGGGUGCAAAACCCGCACGCGUAAUGAAAGUGAACGUAGGUGAGAGCUUCGGCGCAUCCCCGACCGAUCCUGAAGUAUUCUGACGGAUUUGAGUAAGAGCCUUACCGCUUGGACCCGAAAGAUGGUGAACUAUGCUUGUAUAGGGUGAAGCCAGAGGAAACUCUGGUGGAGGCUCGCAGCGGUUCUGACGUGCAAAUCAAUCGUCUAAUAUGAGCGUGGGGGGGAAAGACUAACCAAACCAUUUA